rnacentral:rRNA from 1 species
AUACGGAGGGUGCGAGCGUUAAUCGGAAUUACUGGGCGUAAAGCGUACGUAGGCGGUUGGUUAAGUUAGAUGUGAAAGCCCCGGGCUUAACCUGGGAACUGCAUUUAAAACUGGCGAACUAGAGUUGAGUAGAGGGGAGUGGAAUUUCAGGUGUAGCGGUGAAAUGCGUAGAGAUCUGAAGGAACACCAGUGGCGAAGGCGACUCCCUGGACUCGAACUGACGCUGAGGUACGAAAGCGUGGGUAGCAAACGGGAGUAGAAACCCGAGUAGUCC